AGCUUUGCUCACUGCCAGUAUCACAGCCAGGGAGGUUUAUCUGAGGAAUGAUUAUUGCUAAUUGAAAACUUUUCCAAGCAUGCCUGACCCACUCAGUUGGGGGAGCAUGUGACUCUUGAUCUCCUGGUCAUGGG